AACGAACGCUGGCGGCAUGCCUAACACAUGCAAGUCGAACGAGACCUUCGGGUCUAGUGGCGCACGGGUGCGUAACGCGUGGGAAUCUGCCCUUGGGUUCGGAAUAACAGUUGGAAACGACUGCUAAUACCGGAUGAUGACGUAAGUCCAAAGAUUUAUCGCCCAAGGAUGAGCCCGCGUAGGAUUAGCUAGUUGGUGAGGUAAAGGCUCACCAAGGCGACGAUCCUUAGCUGGUCUGAGAGGAUGAUCAGCCACACUGGGACUGAGACACGGCCCAGACUCCUACGGGAGGCAGCAGUAGGGAAUAUUAGGCGAGGGGCGAAAGCCUGAUCCAGCAGUGCCGCGUGAGUGAUGAAGGCCUUAGGGUUGUAAAGCUCUUUGACCCGAGAUGAUAAUGACAGUACCGGGAGAAUAAGCACCGGCUAACUCCGUG
rnacentral:rRNA from 1 species